rnacentral:rRNA from 1 species
GNUCAGACCGGUGCAAGCCAGGUCGGUUUCUAUCUUCUAGAAUAAUUUUAUACAGUACGAAAGGACCUAUAAAUAUUAUAUUUAUAACAAAUUGGCAGAUCAAUGCAUUAGAAUUAGAAUCUAAUAAACAUAAUUAUAUUCACUACUAAUUUUAUUAUU